rfam:Otolemur garnettii contig032541, whole genome shotgun sequence.
GUGGUCAUUCCAGCAGCAUAUAUACUAAAAUUGUAAUGAUACAGAGGUUAGCAUGACCUCUGAACAAGGAUGACAGAAAUUUGUGAUGUGUUCCAUGGUUUU